rnacentral:rRNA from 1 species
UACAGAGGUCUCAAGCGUUGUUCGGAUUCAUUGGGCGUAAAGGGUGCGUAGGUGGCGCCGUAAGUCAGGUGUGAAAUCUCGGGGCUCAACCCCGAAACUGCACUUGAUACUGCGGUGCUCGAGUACUGGAGAGGAGAUUGGAAUUUACGGUGUAGCAGUGAAAUGCGCAGAUAUCAGGAGGAACACCAAUUGCGAAGGCAGCUGGCUACACAAAUAUUGACACUGAGGCACGAAAGCGUGGGGAUCAAACAGG